rnacentral:rRNA from 1 species
GACAGAGGGGGCAAGCGUUGCUCGGAAUCACUGGGCGUAAAGGGCGCGUAGGCGGGAUGGCAAGUCGGUCGUGAAAGCCUUCGGCUCAACCGAAGAACGUCGGCCGAUACUGCCGUUCUUGAGGGAUGCAGAGGAGACUGGAAUUCCCGGUGUAGCGGUGAAAUGCGCAGAUAUCAGGAGGAACACCCGUGGCGAAAGCGGCUCUCUGGGACGGUACUGACGCUGAGACGCGAAAGCGUGGGGAGCAAACAGG